UUUCUGCAAAUAGGAAGAAAGAACAAUGGAAUCAUCAAAAAAUGAAAAUAACAAAAAAGUGAUAGAGCACAAGGCUUAUGCUAGAGUUGGACUGCUUGGAAAUCCAAGCGACGUGUAUUAUGGCUACACCAUCUCUUUCACUGUCGAUAACUUCUGGGCUGACGUAUUGUAGCUGUCUGAUCACCUCAUCAUCACUCCCCAUCCCACCCACGAUCUCGUCCAGUUCCAGUCUCUCCCUCACCUGGUGAGUCGGUUAGAUAAUGAAGGUUAUUAUGGAGGUGUACGAUUGCUUAUGGCAAUUUGUAGAGUUUUCCAUAAUUAUUGCAAGGAUAACAAGAUUGAUCUUCAUGAAGGCAAUUUCACUCUCAUAUGACACUAAUAUCCCUCGUCAGGUUCUAGUGCUAUUGUAUGUGCUGCCUUAAGCUGCCUUCUUGACUUCUACAAAGUUAGGCAUUUGAUUAAAGUAGAGGUCAGGUCUAAUCUUGUCCUCGCUGCAGAGAAAGAUCUUGG